rnacentral:rRNA from 1 species
CGCCUGGGGAGUACGGCCGCAAGGUUAAAACUCAAAUAAAUUGACGGGGGCCCGCACAAGCGGUGGAGCAUGUGGUUUAAUUCGACGCAACGCGAAGAACCUUACCUGGCCUUGACAUCCAGAGAACUUUCCAGAGAUGGAUGGUGCCUUCGGGAACUCUGAGACAGGUGCUGCAUGGCCGUCGUCAGCUCGUGUCGUGAGAUGUUGGGUUAAGUCCCGUAACGAGCGCAACCCCUAUCCCUGGUUGCUAGCAGGUAAUGCUGAGAACUCCAGGGAGACUGCCGGUGACAAGCCGGAGGAAGGUGGGGAUGACGUCAGGUCAUCAUGGCCCUUACGGCCAGGGCUACACACGUGCUACAAUGGCGCGUACAGAGGGCUGCCAACUCGCGAGAGUGAGCCAAUCCCUUAAAACGCGUCGUAGUCCGGAUCGGAGUCUGCAACUCGACUCCGUGAAGUCGGAAUCGCUAGUAAUCGCGAAUCAGAAUGUCGCGGUGAAUACGUUCCCGGGCCUUGUACACACCGCCCGUCACACCAUGGGAGUGGAUUGCACCAGAAGUAGUUAGUCUAACCUUCGGGAGGACGAUUACCACGGUGUGGUUCAUGACUGGGGUGAAGUCGUAACAAGGUAACCGUA